CUCAUUUUUGCUGGCAUUCGCUAUGUUAGACGUCCAAUCACUACUAACCUUUUGGUGAAAACUGAAACAAAAUAGUCAUUUAGCACUUCAGCCAUUUCCACGUUUUCUGUUAUUGUUUCCCCCAUCCGCCCCCCAUUGAGUAACUGCCCUACUCUGUUCUUGGGCUUCCUCUUGCUUCUGAUGUAUUUGUAGAAUGUUUUCUUGUUAUCCUUCAUGUCUCUAGCUAGUUUAAUCUUGUUUUAUGCCUUGGCCUUUCUAAUUUUGUCCCUACAUACUUGUGUUAUUCGUUUAGGCCAAAUUACAAAGCAUGAAUAUAGUUUCCACUUUUUGGGUCAAGAGCCUCUAAGACUGGUGCUUGUAUUUCUGUUGAGAUAACCCACCUGAGUAUUGAAUCAAGUAUCAAGGUAGCACAAGCAUGUUUAGUGGCUCUGGCUAAUAGAGCCUAGACUUUGUAUUUCAGCCCAACUUCCAGCCCAGGAAAGUAAGUUGGUGUUUAUUUUUUAAUUUUGUUAACACCUUUUAGAAACUUAAAAUGAACCCCGAUUCCAGACUAUUUUAAAUCAUUCCUGUGUUCAUUGCAACAUUCGGAUUAACUGGUCUGCUGAGGCACAAAGGAACAUGCCUGUUGGUCAUAGACAGAAAAGACUUACCUGGUUAUUGCAAACCUCUGCCCACUAAAGGGCCUCUUUGGCUUCUCUGUUAACAGACCUGACGUCUGGAAUUAGCUGUGAAAUGGCAGCUCCCAGUGAGAGGAACCAGCACCAUUCCUGGGUAUCGAGAGAGUGAAAAGGAGCUGGAGAUUUCUAAAAACAUUUAAUAGAUGAUGUGUGUAUCUAAUAUAAAAUAGCUGCCAUUGCUAUGCAUAUAGCUAUCAAAUACUAGAACUAAUCACUGCAAUUUCCCCAGCAAGAUUAAUCUGAAAGCUGACUCAGUUAGCACAAAAUACAAACAGUGUGCCACAUCCCACUUGUUGCAUUAAGGCAGGUCAUGAUUAUUCCCCUUUACAGUUCCUUUCCAUUAUUCCUCUUUAACUUGCAGUGCUGUAUCCGUGCCCCUCAACAGAGUAUUUUGCAAACGAGGAAUACACUAAAUCACCAGAACAACACGGACAUCUAAAGCAUGGGGCAGAGAGCUGGUUAGAAUUAGAAAUGGUCAACAUACAUCUGCAAUCAUUUAAAAGUCUAAUUACAACAUCUGAGGCAGGGAUGGGUGGGGGAACACAACUGGAAAGAAUUACUUUUGAAGAACACCUUUUUCCCCAAAGAGUUUUGUGCUUUAACAAGUGUAUCUCAGAAAUAGCUACAGAGGGCUGUGUUUUAUGGAAAGCAGGAGAUGGGGCACGCCAGGCCCAGCGGCCUUUCAAGACUGAUUUAAACUUUAAGGUACCUUUUCAACACUAUACCAGAUUACCUGAGGUCAAAAAGCACCAGGAGUGGAGUAGCUGGCUCUGCAUGGUAAAAUGCUUUGAGAGGAACGGUUAGCUGUGCAGUCAUGUCCCCCAACUUCAGCAUGUGCACAACCACCUGGUCACCAAGUAAACAAAACAAGCUCCUGCACCCAUUCCAGCUGCCUGGCAUACUAGGACUACAAGGGAUGCAGGGAAUGGAGCUGGCAUGGUGGCUUGGCUAUUGUUGUGCAUUGCCAAUGCUAACCAGUGAACACACCGGGACGUAACAGAGAGGCUGACUGGGCAGGAAGAGCCACUGGCAAUGGAGGAAGUGAGCAGCCUGCUCAAGAUUUUGGGGAUUUCUGAAUAUUCCACUGAGUGAGACUUCAUAUUUUCAAUUAAUGUAGUUAGUGAACGUUUAUUUCAAGAUAGUGCAGAUCUGGAUUGCGACUGUAAUUAGACAUACCAGUGAAGAUUUGACUCCAGUAUCAUUAAACUCUCUCUUGAAGGAGCUACUUAGCGCACUGCAUCUAAUAAAUUUAUCUCUUAAUGAUUGUAUUGUUUGUUAGUCAUCUUUAAUCAGAGCGUUCAGAGUCAGAUCUUCAGAGAUCUCUCUCUAGAUGUAUCCAUUUGGGCUUGGGGUUAUAUAUGGCAGCUGGUUGGAAGGGAUUAUUAUUUGUAUUACUGUAGCAUCUAGAAGUUUUAGUCAUGGACCAAACUCAUUGUGCUAGGUGCUGUACAAACACAAAGUACAAAGAUGGUCCCUGCCCCAAGGAUCUUACAAUCUUAGUAUAAGACAAGGUCCAAGCGAUGGAUACAGACAGACCGAUGGGGGAGUACAAGGAAACAGAUCCACAGACCACUGAUGAGCAGCAGUGGUCUCUACAUACCCAAAGCUUAACUGUUGCCAGGUUUUUUUGCAAGCAUCAUGGCAGAGGAGGGAUUUGAAGGUGGAUAAUGAGGUAGCUUUCUGGAUAUUUAUGGGGAGCCAGCCUCUACCCAAGCGUAAGCAGCAAUUUUCCAUGGGAAAAAUCACAAGAAUGCUUGUUUGAAAACUUAACACACUGGAAUCAUGGGCUGCUUGGAGGUGAGCACUGACAGCUCAGUAACGAAUGAGCAAUGAUAGGUAGGGUGAGGAUUGACUGUGAAGGGCCUUGAAAGUCAGGACAAGCCAUUUACGUUUGAUGCCAUGAAGAGGUAGCCAGUAGAGGGAUGCAAAGAGUGGGGAUGUGGUCAAGGCCACAGGCUAGAAAAAUUAUUUUUACACUGGCAUUCUGAAUGGAUUAAGAGCAGGGCAAGAUUGCAUUUGUCAAGGCCAGAGAGAAGGCUGUUGCAGUAAUCAAGACAUGCAAUGGGAUGAGACACAUUGAUGUUUUGACUACUGAAUGUGUCUCCUGUGUACUGUUGUGUGUCUACAACACCCUGCACACCUUCUCACUCCCAAUUUCUUGAGCCCAAGUAAACCAAGUCACAACAUAGACAAGGUAAAAUGAAUUGAAUACAUUAUUCAUAUGAAUUAUUUGCUCAUUUUAAAUAACUAGCCACUUGAGCAUUCUUCCCGUCUCCCUAUCCUCCAUCCCCAAGUCAGCUUUUAUUUCAGGUACAUCUGAUUUACUAGCUUUAGGUGAAUUGCGUUAGACUUAAUUCCCUUCUCACAAAGAGCAUGAUGGGGAGCUAUCGUAAUCAUCCAGAAAAUCCGUCAUUGCAUAAAUGGAAAACACAGACUGAACUUCAACUAGCAGGAGAUCUGUGAACGUUCACAGAGACGCUCUAUUACAUUAGCCGGAUCAUGAGUUGAGGCUUUGUCUUUGUCUCCUCCAUUGUAAAACGGUCCCCACCAGAGCCCUCUGUGGUGAAUGCCUCCAAUGUUCAUCUUCUUUAAAUAAAUCUAAUUAUAUUUUCAACAUCAGAAACUGUGUGGAUGAAAUUAUCAGCAUCGACCAUUCAUCUCUUUAUGAUUCAUGUAAUGUUAAUAAGACAAUGUUCUGCCAUCGAAGGAAGCAAUGCGCUGGGCCAUUGGGAUUAGGUAGAAGAAGAGGGAAGCGUCUGCCAGUGUUACUCAGUUUUUUCCAGAGAAGACACUAUUAAGAGGUAACACUGGCUGGCUCCAAGGCUUGUUUCAUCACAGCCCUUCUUAGCCAGUGGGGGCAGCCAAGGAGGAUCAUGAUGGUGAAGAAGGUAUAAUAUUGUGAGAAAACAGAGCUAGACCAGGGCUCGAGCACAAGGAUGUUGUAUAUACAGGGACUUGGGAUACCCAUAAAGGUAUGUUCUUGGUAACCUCUUAUACCUCUGGGACUCUGUUACACAGGACUCUACAGAUUGUCACCAACACCUGGACUGUAUGUAAAUAUUGCUUAGAUGUGUUGUAUCCUUAUAACUAUAAUGUAUAUAGUUCUCUUGAACAGACCUCAGCGAUACCACACUAAACACACCUGUGCUGCUGAGUGUACCAUUGUGACCGAAUGCACCCCUGUAUUCACACCCUGCACACUGGUCUGGAUUGCACCCCAGAACGUGAUAACCGUCUAUGUCCUAACUUUCCAUUAUUCUGCUCCUCCUAUGUUGUGAUCUACUGUGCGCAGAUAUCAGGCCACUUCCAAGAAGGUCUACAAAAGAUAUUAAGUAAUAAAAGGAUGCCUAUCCAAUAGUCUAGGCACCGUAACACACAAUUCAUAAUACAAUAAAGUCCCAGCACAGUCCCUCUCUGCCUCUUCACUACUCUGGGAAGCAAACCCUCAACCCUCUCCAAAAACCAUCUCAGCUAUUCAUCUUUGCAGAUGCCCAGAAGGUCACCAGAUUUGAGCCAUUUCAGAUCAAGAGGGCGGGGAGUGAGUUCCAGAGUCCCACAGCCAUCACAGAAAACACCUGGCCAGCCACUCCCACUCUUUUAUCAUGAGAGGGAUCCAGCUGAGGCACCUGUGCUGACCUCAGCUGUGGCAGGAUGGCAUGCGGAGACAUGCGGUCCCUCAAAUAGGCCACUCAAACUUUACCAACACCUUCAACACCACCCCGAGACCAAUAGGUCAGAUUCCAGAGCACUGGUUUCAUGAGAUGCUCUGCUAAAAUAAGCAAGACACUGUGUUCUGCACCAGCUUCAAUCUCCAAAUGGCUUUAACAUGUAACCCCACGUAGAGAGCAUUGCAGCAAUCUGAUCUGGAGACACUAAAGUCGAGUCCAACCAGGCAGACAUACAACUGAGUGUCAUCAGCACACUGAAGACACCAGACCCAUGCCGCCUCCUUACUGACCAUCCUCCUGGCCCUCCAUACACAUUGGCACUGGCAAGACCGCCUUGCUUGAGAGCUCUUCAGGAAGAGGAACAAUUGCCCCUAACUAUGAGUUGAGACCUCUCUGAGGCAAAAGUAGGCAGCCCUGUCUGCUCUCACCAAGGUCCACAUGAGUCUACAACGCUCACUAGCUGGUUAGCUGGUGAAACCUACUGAGGGCGCAACCUAACCCAACCCCCCCAACACACACACACCCUGCCCCAGUGGUUUAUUACCACCAUCUUUUGUGGCUAAGAAAGUGUGUGAAUCAAGUAAAUAAAAAAAAAUCAGAUAAAGGAAAACAGGUGUCCUUAUGAAAUGGUAUUGAAGCUGAGUGUAAUGAACUCCAGGCUGCUACUAGGUAUUUAUAUGGAUUUCUUCAGUAUGCUUGUAAAAUUCUGACAGUUAACUGCUUACCUACUGUCAGACACCCCGUAUACCGCACCAGCUGGAUAUCCUCACGUUUCAUGGAUGUGAAUUACAUCUCUUGGGUGAAGCUGCCCAUAUGCACCUAGAUCGCUGGAGGGUGCAUUUCAAACUAAACUGGAGUAAAGCGUGAAUGACGAUUGCAACGUCUCUGGGGAAGCAAGGCUUGGCAAGGAAAAGGGUUAAAAGUUUUACUUUAGAUAGUCUAGGAAGAGGAAGGGAAUAAAACCUUACACUGUUUGGUAAUGACAGUAGCUACCAGAAGUGGUUACCAUUUGCUGAUUGACUGGUAACAUGUGGAAUGAGUUUGGUGUCUCAGUUCCGUUUCUGGUGUCCAUAUCGCAGACUUAAGGAGGGUUCAGGAAAGGGUGAGGAAAAUGGCAAGGGGCCUGGAAAAACUCUCUUCUGAAGACCCAGUGAAGAGAACUGGCCUUAGAAAGGAGAUAAGUAAGAAGGAACAUGACCUCAGUAUAUAAAAAUAAUGAAUGGUAGAGCAGGAGUGUCCGUUCUCCCUGUGUCCUAACAGUCAAGGAAAUUAAAGGGUGGGAAAUUCAAAACUGAUCAAAGGAAAUACUUGUUCUACACAAUGUGUGAUUAGACUGCGGAACUCAUUGCCACAGAAAGUCACUGAGGCUAUGUACUGAACAAGAUUCAAAAAGGGAUGGAACACUUACAUGUCUAGCACAAAUAUCCAGAGUUGUCAUAAUUAAGUAUAACAUACAUUUCAGAAGGGCUAUUAAACCUUCUGUUCAGGGCUUAAACCAGUCUCUAUUAGACAUCAGGGUGAGACCUAAUGUGCAGGGCAGAUUAUCGCACAUUUGCCUACUGUGGAGUUCUUACAGCUUCCUCUGAAGCAGCUGGGGCUGGCCUAGACGGAGCUCAGAUGUGACUGAGUGAGGCAAUUCCUGAGUUCUUAACAGAAAUGGCCACCCCUGGCAUUAAUUAACCCUUCUGUUGGCAGUGUCGACAAAGACUGACUAAGCCAAAGAGAUUGAAUUCCCCAUCUAUCCCUACACGGCAGGGUCGGCCUAAGACAUGCUGGUGAGAGCAUAGGAGGAAGGCUGCGCUGCUGCUGCCAGUGCUGCAUUUGUUUUGUGCCUAAACAAAGGACUUCAACCUCCAAUCGCUCACCAAUCUGCCAGUUUGGCACCACUUUUAAAUUCACUACAGAGACCCCAAAAAACUUUUCAGCUGCCUCACCCCCCAGCCUCACACUGAUCUUCGACACAGGUUCCUCAAGGUGCAGCUGCUGUGAGACUGGAGGACUGCAGGUCUUUGGCCCCUAUACUAGCUGCUGCUAGAACCUCACUGAAAUCUAGGUGGCCAUUUCACUAUAGGACACACGGUCCAAGUGGAACCCCACUGCAGUGCCUGAUGUGCUGGAGGAGCUUAGUCCAUGAAGAACCACCCAUGAGAUUGUCUAUAUCCCUUGGAAGGAAGUGGGGAAAAGACUGAGGCUCUUGGUGAACUUUGCCCUGUCCUAAAAUAAUUUUCCACACCUGAUGUUACCGCAUAAUAGGAUUUUUCUGGUUGAUACCAACCAGUGUGCAUGGGGCAAAAGUGGUUUUAAAUGGGUGUUGAAAACCCCUGACUGGAGAGUUUCCAAUCUGUUUAUUGCUACAGGUGGGAGAAGCCUGGAAGAAAGCCACAUGCAUGCAGCAGUCUAGACAUGUUUGGGUUGUUUUUUUUUUUUUUUUCCCAGAGUUAAAAAACCGAAGUGCCAUAAGCCUUUUUUUCCCCUGGGACUCUUACAAGUGGCCAAUGUAAACAAUUCCCUCACUGCCCUAAAAUGUAGAGUAACUCACAGGAUGAAGCAAUGACCUAUUGAACCUCUGGGAAGGGUAAUGCAAGUCUCUGUCUGGUUCGGUGCCUUUAGUGAGCCAAGUUUGGUCAUUUCAGCUCAAUUGCUUCAGUACAACCAACAGGCUUUGUGAUAUGGAAUGCACUCCAGGGGCCUUGUGGGGCAGUUCUCCGUAUACACAGGGAGGCCCAAAGUUUCAGAUUUGACUGCCUAAUGUUAAGUAUGUAAAUAACUGGCCUGCUCUUCAGAAGCGCUGAGCUUCCACUGUCUUCAGUCAGAAACACAGUCUCCAUCACUUCUGCAGAGCAGGAGACUGACCCAGCUACCUUGAUAUAGAUUUAAGUGCUUAACAUCAAGCCCUCAAGCUUGAACAUGUUGACCUCCAGGUAUGUUUUCCACCACCAUGAGGAAAUAUUAUUGCUUAGCCCAAGUGCUUCACAAGCAUUAAUGAAUUAUAUCACACUUCCACACUAAAUCUUCCACAUUUUCGACUCCUCCUUAAGACAGAGACCCUCUCAUGGGCCCUAGAGCCGUUCUUAACCUUCCAAGUCCUUGCGUUCCCUGCAGUAGCUAUAGAUCUUGUUUGCAUUAAAAAGAAAUAUUAGGAUAGCGUUAUGAAGACAAGAUAAAAAUAAACUGGCUUUAAUGUGAAGGCUACAGCUGCCGGGUACCUCCCUUAAUUUUGUAUCUGUACUGCUCCUUUAUGUUUCCUUUACUGGUGUCAGAUCCCAUCUCAUUGCCUGCAGCCCCUCGGCUCUAACUUCUCCAGGUCACUUUACAGUUGGGUUCACCUCCUAUAUAUUUUCUACCCCUCCAAUUUUCCAUUUGACUGCACAUUUGAUCAUGGUUGGAAUUGCACCAAAGAAGCACUCGACAAGUACAGAAACGAAGCAGCUGUGCAUCCGGGCUGUUUGUUAAAGUGCUGUGAAGAAAGUGUGACCUUUCAGUGCUGGAGUCCAUCAUGUAAUAUUGAACAUGGAAACUGGUCACAAAAAUCUCACUUAAUGAAUGGACCUGUCAAAGAAUAUGGACUUCUUCCUCCCUGGCAAUAAGGUGGGGGAAGUCUGCUGUUGAUGGUGAUGCACUGAAAUCAUGAAGAAAUGCUGAUGGCCAUAUAAAUCUGCAUAUGCAAAAGGGUGAAUUAUUUUUCAAUAAACCAAUUGGAAGAACUA